rnacentral:misc_RNA from 1 species
AAGUCGUAACAAGGUUUCCGUAGGUGAACCUGCGGAAGGAUCAUUACCGGGUUUAAGGGGGGGGAAACCCCCCAACCAUCCCAACCCCUUGACCUUUACCUAUCCACGUUGCUUUCGGGGGGGCCCGUCAAGGCCCCCCGGAGGUCAAUCAAACUAUAUUUCUACAGUCGUCAGAGCGAAUGCGAAAAUAAGUAAAAA